AGUGAACGCUGGCGGUAGGCCUAACACAUGCAAGUCGAACGGCAGCACAGUAAGAGCUUGCUCUUACGGGUGGCGAGUGGCGGACGGGUGAGGAAUACAUCGGAAUCUACUUUUUCGUGGGGGAUAACGUGGGGAAACUUACGCUAAUACCGCAUACGACCUACGGGUGAAAGCAGGGGAUCUUCGGACCUUGCGCGAUUGAAUGAGCCGAUGUCGGAUUAGCUAGUUGGCGGGGUAAAGGCCCACCAAGGCGACGAUCCGUAGCUGGUCUGAGAGGAUGAUCAGCCACACUGGAACUGAGACACGGUCCAGACUCCUACGGGAGGCAGCAGUGGGGAAUAUUGGACAAUGGGCGCAAGCCUGAUCCAGCCAUACCGCGUGGGUGAAGAAGGCCUUCGGGUUGUAAAGCCCUUUUGUCGGGAAAGAAAAGCAGCAGGUUAAUACCCCGCUGUUCUGACGCUACCCAAAGAAUAAGCACCGGCUAACUUCGUG
rnacentral:rRNA from 1 species